rnacentral:lncRNA from 1 species
GGAUCCUUGUGCCCAGAGGAACAGGGUCACCCACUCGUGCAAUUUAGAAGCAGCAUGAAAUAAACGUGGAGCACCAGGGUUAGAGAGCAAAGAUGGGUUGGGAGUCGACACUAUAGAUCCAGAUUUAAAUCCAGAUUUUUAAAACUAGGAAACUCUCUUUCUAAAGAGAAAAGCAAAGCUUGCAGUCUCGUUCCAUUACCCACCGGUGCCUUUGAGCCAUGAACUUUCCCCCACUUCUGAAACUUCUCUGGAAAAUUCAUUUCAUGCUUGUCUACUCCAGUAACACCCUUGACUGAACUGUUACCAAACAGGAGACUUGGCUGAGGGAAUGUGAGAAAUCUCUUGAUAGGUUGGAGCCAGUUGGCACCCUUGAGAGCCAUGUGCUGUGACCUUCGCUUUACCUGUAAUCUGGGACCAUGACCUUCUCCCAGCAGAGGGGACUUUCUGAUUAUUCCUGUGCCAGGUGCCUGGGAAGCAGACACGGCACAUGUGUCACAUUCUUUGACACACUAAAAAUGUCUGUUAGGCUGAGGGAGGGACACAGGGGCCCUGGCUUCAGAGCCCUGCAUCCACCUGCGUCUGGGGGGCUGUCCUAGGAGACCGGCUUGGUAGCCCUCAAAUCUCCCUGAGAGCCUCAAUUUGGAUUCUUUCCCUUAUAAGACCAGGUCUCCACCAGCUAACUUACUGCUGCUAAGGCUGCCCUCAAACCAAUGUGAUAAGCAUCCCUGUCUCCUUCACUGUACAUUUUUUUUCCCCAACUGUCUUUUUAUGCAUCCUUAGACGACCACCUUCCCAUUUAUAACAAUGCUUCUUUCAGAAUUCAGCUUUUCUCAAGUUCUCAGCCUCUUACCCUCAGAAAAUGAUCUAAUUUCUUCCUCCCCCGAGAAAAGGUUUUCAGCAAAAACUUACCGAGCACUAAUGCGAAGCAAGAAAUGUGCGAAGUCGCUUGGCACAGAGGCACACACCUGUAAUCCCAGGGACUCCGACGCUGAGGAGGAGGAGUGCAAGUUCAAGGCCAGGCUUGAGGACUUAACAAGACCCUGUCUCUCGAUGAAAAAUAGGAAGUGUGUAGGGGUGCAGUUCAGUGUAGAGUAUCCCUGGGUUCAAUUGCCAACACCACACACACACACACACACACACAAACACACACACAACAUACACAAAAGAAUUGUGUUUAGACCCUGGAAUAUAAAGACAAAUACAAUAUCAUCUUUGCCC